rnacentral:rRNA from 1 species
UGCUCCAGAAUAGCUCUUGGAAACGGGUGGUAAUGCUGGAUGCUCCAACUUGACGCAUGUCUUGUUGGGAAAGUGUUUAGUGGCAUGGGAUGGGGUCGCGUCCUAUCAGCUUGUAGGCGGGGUAAUGGCCCACCUAGGCUUCGACGGGUAGCCGGCCUGAGAGGGCGGACGGCCACAUUGGGACUGAGAUACGGCCCAGACUCCUACGGGAGGCAGCAGCU